UGCCAGCCGCCGCGGUAAGACGGAGGGUGCGAACGUUGUUCGGAAUCACUGGGCAUAAAGCGCGCGUAGGCGGUCCACUAAGUCAGUUGUGAAAUCCCUCGGCUCAACCGAGGAACUGCAACUGAUACUGGUGGACUUGAGGAUGGUAGGGGUGAGCGGAACUCCAGGUGGAGCGGUGAAAUGCGUAGAUAUCUGGAGGAACACCGGUGGCGAAAGCGGCUCACUGGACCAUCACUGACGCUGAGGUGCGAAAGCUAGGGUAGCAAACGGGAUUAGAUA
rnacentral:rRNA from 1 species